CCUACGGGUGGCAGCAGUGGGGAAUAUUGCGCAAUGGGCGAAAGCCUGACGCAGCGACGCCGCGUGAGUGAUGAAGGUCUUCGGAUCGUAAACCUCUGUCAGCAGGGAAGAACGGUCACUGUGCUAAUCCGCAGUGAAUUGACGUUACCUGCAAAGGAAGCACCGGCUAACUCCGUGCCAGCAGCCGCGGUAAUACGGAGGGUGCGAGCGUUAAUCGGAAUUACUGGGCGUAAAGCGCACGUAGGCGGUAUGUCAAGUCAGGGGUGAAAUCCCCGCGCUCAACGUGGGAACUGCAUUGGAAACUGGCAGGCUGGAGUGUGGGAGAGGGGAGUGGAAUUCCAGGUGUAGGGGUGAAAUCCGUAGAGAUCUGGAGGAACAUCAGUGGCGAAGGCGACUAUCUGGAAAAAGACUGACGCUGAGGAGCGAAAGCGUGGGUAGCAAACAGGAUUAGAUACCCCAGUAGUC
rnacentral:rRNA from 1 species